GAUACUUUCUUUAGCCAUCAAAUUUCCAAGUGAAGGUUGCGAAUUGACCGGUGACAGAAACAAAGAGAUUCACUUGGCAUCUUGUCUUUUUAAACUCGUCCCUUGUACCAACAAUUCUGCUACGUGAUAGUGCAAAGAAAGCAUCUUGAGGAACACGUGACUGUCACGUGCCCGUGGAGGAUCCUUGGAUGUGGUUAUUGCAGUGAGCCACACCCAGAGUGUAAGAUGAAGGACCACAUUGAAAAGUACAGCAAGUUCCCGGUAACUUGUCCCAACAGUUGUGGGGUUCUUACUCUCAGGGAAAUGAUUGCAAAUCACACGGAAGACGAUUGUCCUUUAACCAUGAUGCCUUGUCCUUAUGAACAGAUGGGCUGCAAAACAAAGAUUCAACGACGUGAAAUGGGAUCCCAUCUGCAAUCUGCCAUGAGACUCCAUCUUGACUUAGCUUGUGUGAAAAUAAAUACCACUGAAGAAACAUUAAACGAAACACGGAAGUUAGGUUACAUAACACAGAAUUAAAGUUAAAUGACAUGCAAGAUACAACAAGGAAACUGAUGGAAAAACUCGACAAACUCGAAAAGAAAAAGAGGGAGGAUAAAGGGAAUACAACUGAAACCAAAAAAAUUAAUGAAGGCGAAACACGAACCUUUCAAUUUCCCACGGGUGUUUGUUUGGAAAUUUAUUAAUUUUAGUGAAAUUUUGAGACAAGCAAAGACCGGCGAACAGAUCCUAAAAAUAGAAACUACUUCCUUCUGCACGGAAAGAUAUGGCUAUAUUUUAAAAAUAGCAAUGUAUCCCAAUGGUUAUGGUGAUUGUAUGAAUACUCACCUCACGGUGUUCAUUGUUGUAAUGAAAGGUGAAUAUGACGCUAUAUUACC
rnacentral:misc_RNA from 1 species